GGCAGGCCAUGGACUCAACGUCCCCCACCUCCCCACAAAUCGUUAAUCUCCUCCCUCUAUCCACUUCUUCCUUGAUUGUCUAUACUUCUCCACAUCACACGGCCAAACUUGUGGAAAAAAGGGGGGCGAGACAACUUUAUCUCCUUGCAGACCUCCCUAAAAAAAAUCUCACUUCGGGCCGCCACCACAAAUCCUCAAUCGAUCUCACCUGAUCCACCGCCGCCGCCACAAAUCCUCCAUCGUUCUCACCUGAUUUCCCUGCGCCGCCGUUGGCUUGGCGCACAUCUAGGUUUCCCCACUUGAUCCUUGGGUAUGAGGGUUCCCUCACCUGGUAUGUAGAUCACGGCUGGACAAGAAAUUGUCACGGUGCCGCUGGCCAUGUCCACCUCGCGCUCUCCCUGGAAGCCCCGCUCCCCGCGCUCCAUUUUGAUAGUCACCACAGGGAACGACUACAAGAGGAAGACGCACAAGGUGUCCGAGAUUCGCCGGGGAUGGGGAAGGUCAUGCGUCGCUGCGCCGGGAGGCAGCAUCUACUCUGCUAGAAGAAUGCUAAGCAAAGUUGGUAUUACUUUGGCUGAACCUGGAUGGUGCAAAGUCAGGCUUGCUUCUCUCAGUUUCCUAUCUAGAUCUCCAUGUGCUGGUUGUUACUAGUUGUCUUGAUUAAUUUAGAUAAAUACCACUGUGUUUACCUCUUGUUGUUUGAUAGGAAUUUGGAUCAGAUGUCAAUAGCGCAGGGGCAGGGGGCUACUCGAUGGGCCAAAAAAGCGGAGGUUUGGUUGCAGUUCCCAGAUGCACAACAGCGGUGCGGCGCCCAUAUGCACAACGGUGGCGCGACGGCUGCGAGAUGUACAGAAGUGGUAGUGAUGACAUUACGCGGUGACUGUGGACUCUGGCGUCAAAGGACAAAACAUGGUUCAGAUUCAUAAGAUAUUUUGACGAUGCAUGGCUUAGACGUUGAUUGCACGGUCCAGAAUGGUGCUAUAGGAUACUCUUAUCAUCUGAUUGCAAGGUCGAGAAUGGUGUUGCUGCUAGAUAGUUUGAUCAUCUGAUUGCAAGGUCGAGAAUGGUGUUGCUGCUGGAUAGUUUUAUCAUCUGAUUGCAAGGUCGAGAAUGGUGUUGCUGCUAUAUGGUCUUAUCAUAUGAUUGCAAGGUCGAGAAUGGUGUUGCUGUUGGAUAGUCUUAUGUUAUGUUUUAGGAUAUCAUUUCCAGUGUCAAUGUUUCAAAAGUUCUAAUUUCGAAUAGUUGAGAAAAUGAUUGAAAAGAUCCAGAAUUGGGCUAGUAUUGUAAUCUUUGGAUCAUGUUCUUUGUAAUGCAAUAGAUGAAAUUGAAUAUAUUAGACCUUUUUCAUA